CCCUGUCUCAGAAACACCCUGGACUCGCCCGAUCUCAUCUGAUCCCAGAAGUUAAGCAAGGUCAGGCCUGGUUAGUACUUGGAUGAGAGAAACUAAGGUGGAGGGU
rnacentral:rRNA from 1 species